ACGCUUACAUCGUACCCAACAAAACUGAGCAAGACGCACAGAAAAAAGUCAAGGCAGACCUAAGCAGUUUUGUGAAGCCUUUAGAGGUUCAUCUGAUAGAUACCUCUGGAGAAGAAGACGAGGUCAUCGGUGAAAUGCUGUGUCUUCGGGGCUAUGCUCGGCGGCCAUGAGGCUCUCCCACCUCGAAGUGAGCACACAUAUUCAUCCAGGAUGUGUGUUUUAUCGUCAUGGGCAAACGUCAAUGGACCUUCACCUCAAGAUUUUGCUCGAUAGUCGUCGGGUCUAAAAAUCCUGCAAGAAAAGUCACACAUACCCACAUGAUGUGCGGAGAGAAAAGUCAUUGAUGAACAGACUUUAAAGUUUUGCCAGGGCUGCGCUUGGUGGUCCAGGGUCCAUCCACUUGGACUGAGAGAGCACAAACACAUACAGGCUGACGGCGAUAUUUCUGAGUACCAGAUGAGUCCACAAUAAUGUGUAUUUAAUACUGAAUUAUUGAUGAUGUUUCAUUCUUGCUUUGAAAAAUAAAAGGAACAAACAAAAUGUAACCCAACA
rnacentral:lncRNA from 1 species